ACCCAGACUCUGAGCAUACUGCAACCUGAGCGUGGGCUAAGCACUUCUUUCCCUCAAUCCUCCCAUGCCUCAUCUGUGAAAGGGGGCUGAUGGGACCAGCAAUGAUCCAGAUGGUGGCUGUGCUCUGUCUGCGUGGGUCCCAGAGUGAGACGCUGAGGUGCCGGUCUUGUUGAAUGGGGAGGGCUGCUCUCUGCUCUGGAGAUGGCACUGUGCUCUCACGUCCACAUUGUGGAAGGCAGAAGGCCAAGAGACACUGAGUGACGCGUCUUCUGUAAGGGACUCAAUCCCGUUCGUGAGGGCUCUGGCCUCAGGACCUAUUCAUCUUCCUAAAGGCCCCACCUCUUAACACUGUCACACUGGUGAUUACGUUUCAACACAUGAAUUUUGGGGGGACAUCAUCAUUCAAACCAUAGCACCAGGUGUCACUUGCCCUGUCCACCUUCUGGGGCUGUGGGAUGCCAACUCCGGGGUCCCUGGAUCUCACAGCAAGCUGCAGGGAGAAGCAUUUCCACUGAAACAUCUCCCAGACCUAGCUCUUCACUCGCUCACCCCCGCCUCCCCUUGGGAAGAGGAGGAACUCCUUUGAUUGCUGCAACCACCCAAUGGCAGAACAACCGGCUGAAGAGGGCAGAGUUCGACAUUGUCAUCAACUGGGAGAGAAGAACCGGCUUGUUUUGACAAUAUACUUUAAUAAAUUCAACCAAGUAGUCAAUAAAUAUUGAACUGAAUUGACCUGAAUAAUCUAAUAAUAAUCAAA